UUCUGCCUACGGGGGGCAACAGUGGGGAAUAUUGGGCAAUGGGCGCAAGCCUGACCCAGCAACGCCGCGUGAAGGAAGAAGGCUUUCGGGUUGUAAACUUCUUUUCUUGGGGACGAAGAAAGUGACGGUACCCAAGGAAUAAGCCACGGCUAACUACGUGCCAGCAGCCGCGGUAAUACGUAGGUGGCAAGCGUUAUCCGGAUUUAUUGGGUGUAAAGGGCGUGUAGGCGGG
rnacentral:rRNA from 1 species